ensembl:lncRNA
AUGCCUGUUCCACCUCAGAAGAUCAUUCCAGAAAUUCACUCCUUAGGCUCUCCACACUGUCAGAGAAGUUCAGGAGGUUCUCCAGUUCAUCUCCAUCUGUAUCUGCCUCCUCCUCUGCCUCCCUGGACAUUUGUGGCUCCCCCUCACCUUUACUACCCAACUCCAUGUAGCCUUUGGAAAGAAGAUGUGUCCAAGUGACUGCCAAGAGACAAAUGUAAGUACUCUCAACAUAUCAAUUCCUUUUUUAAAAAUCAAUGCUUUACAAUUACAUUAAGUUGAAAUGUGAGUGAGCAUAAUGAAACAGUUUUGUAGCUGAAUACUGGUGUUUGUUAAAUCAGAAUUGAUAGAACUCAUGAGCAGUCGCUGCAUUGAGAAUCUCUUCCGAGCUGUUAUCUGAUGGUUAGAUUGUAUCAUUCAUAUGCACUGCAGUGACUUCCUUUCUACCUUAGACUUCUUCAGAAGAAUGCACGUAGUUCUUAAUAGAGGAAAUACUUGUACAAUUUGUUUUUAGAAACAGUGUUUUAGUCAGAUCUAUUUUUGAACCUGUAGCUCCUACAAAUAGACCUCAGAUAAGGCAAAGAGAUUCAGAAUUCAACCUUUUUGAGAGUUUCUUGAAUAGACCAAAAGUUUACAGAGGUUACUUUUCUUUACUAAAGGAGACUGAAUGCAAGUGUGUCUACCUACCCAACACAACUGUAAGUAACCCUUUUCUAAACAAAUGUUAGACAAAUGGAAAUGGGUUAAUUUAUAUAUGUCCUGAUUAUGUGCAACCAAUGUUUCCUAUUUUUUUUCUAGGGCUGCACUAAUUAUCAAUAUAUUGAACAAGGACUGAAAACUUUAAACUUACACUGUGUUUUUUCCAACAUCAUGACACAAAAAAUAUGCCAAGUGCUUGAAAGGUUGAAGGUAAGAAUGCAUAUUGAUUAAACAUCAGAAUCACAUAAAACACAUUUUUGUUUACCAACAAUUAUGGAUACCC